rnacentral:rRNA from 1 species
AUUGAACGCUGGCGGCAGGCUUAACACAUGCAAGUCGAGCGGGGAAAGGUAGCUUGCUACCUGACCUAGCGGCGGACGGGUGAGUAAUGCUUAGGAAUCUGCCUAUUAGUGGGGGACAACAUCUCGAAAGGGAUGCUAAUACCGCAUACGUCCUACGGGAGAAAGCAGGGGACCUUCGGGCCUUGCGCUAAUAGAUGAGCCUAAGUCGGAUUAGCUAGUUGGUGGGGUAAAGGCCUACCAAGGCGACGAUCUGUAGCGGGUCUGAGAGGAUGAUCCGCCACACUGGGACUGAGACACGGCCCAGACUCCUACGGGAGGCAGCAGUGGGGAAUAUUGGACAAAGGGGGGAACCCUGAUCCAGCCAUGCCGCGUGUGUGAAGAAGGCCUUUUGGUUGUAAAGCACGUUAAGCGAGGAGGAGGCUACCGAGAUUAAUACUCUUGGAUAGUGGACGUUACUCGCAGAAUAAGCACCGGCUAACUCUGUG